GCUGGGUGUAGUGGCUCACGCCUGUAAUCCCAGCAUUUUGGGAGGCUGAGAUGGGCGGAUCACUUGAGAUCAGGAGUUUGAGACCAGCCUGGCUAACAUGGUGAAACCCUGUCUAUACUAAAAAUACAAAAAUUAGCUGGGUGUAGUGGCAGCCGCCUGUACUCCCAGCUACUCAGGAGGCUGAGGCAGGAGAAUCACCUGAACCUGGGAGAUGGAGGUUGCAGUGAGCCAAGAUUGCACCACUGCACUCCAGCCUGGGCGACGGAGCGAGACUCCAUCUCC
rnacentral:sRNA from 1 species